AUUGAACGCUGGCGGCAUGCCUUACACAUGCAAGUCGAACGGCAGCACGGGGGCAACCCUGGUGGCGAGUGGCGAACGGGUGAGUAACAUAUCGGAACAUACCCUAGAGUGGGGGAUAACGUAGCGAAAGUUACGCUAAUACCGCAUACGAUCUAAGGAUGAAAGUGGGGGAUCUUCGGACCUCAUGCUCAUGGAGUGGCCGAUAUCUGAUUAGCUAGUUGGUGAGGUAAAGGCUCACCAAGGCGACGAUCAGUAGCUGGUUUGAGAGAACGACCAGCCACACUGGAACUGAGACACGGUCCAGACUCCUACGGAGGCAGCAGUGGGAAUAUUGGACAAUGGGCGAAAGCCUGAUCCAGCAAUGCCGCGUGAGUGAUGAAGGCCUUAGGGUGUAAAGCUCUUUUACCCGGGAUGAUAAUGACAGUACCGGGAGAAUAAGCCCCGGCUAACUCCGUGCCAGCAGCCGCGUAAU
rnacentral:rRNA from 1 species